GUUGCUCUAGACUACAUUCGAAAACAUGGCGCAACAGUUGGUGUCACUCGAGAAAAGAGAAUUAAAUAUGCAAAAGAAAUACUUCAAAAGGAAAUGUUACGUGUUGGGGAAUUAUGUGAAACUAAGAAGGCAUACUAUUUUGGGUAUAUUAUUCACCGCCUACUGAUGUGUGCUCUUAGUCGAAGAGCUGAGGAUGACCGAGAUCAUUAUGGAAACAAAAGACUAGAUCUUGCUGGUCCACUGCUUGGAGGGCUGUUUAGAAUGCUUUUCAGGAAGUUAACAAGGGAUGUGAGAUCUUACAUGCAAAAGUGUGUAGAUAAUGGAAAGGAAGUUAAUUUUCAAUUUGCUAUCAAAGCAAAAACUGUUACCAGUGGCUUGAAGUACUCACUUGCUACUGGAAACUGAGGACAGGCUAACCAAGCUGGAACCAGAGCAGGGGUUUCUCAGUCAAAUCAGAAGUUACAAGGUUUAAGGGAAGAAUUGAAUGCGAUUGUCCCAUACUUGGAGGAGAUGAGAAAGAAGAAAGUUGAAAGAUGGGACCAAUUUGUUGAUGUCAUAGAGCAAAUUAAGAAGGUUGCAUCUGAAAUCAGGCCUGCAGAUUUUGUACCCUUUAGAAUUCCUGUGGAUCAGUCUGAUCUGUCUUUAAGAAAGCUGGAGGAGCUAACGAAAGAGCUGCAAUCCCUUCAGAAGGAGAAGAGUGAUCGGCUGAAGCAAGUCAUGGAACAUCUUAACACUUUGCAUUCGUUAUGCGAGGUGCUUGGUGUAGACUUCAAACAAACAGUAAAUGAGGUGCUAAUGUGGUGGAGCUACGAACAACAAUCUGAUGUCCUGAUCGAGAGCGACGGAGCUAAUGUUUGAACUUGUGUAUUUGAACUUGUGAACUAUGGAUGUGAACUUGUGUGAAUUUGUGAACUUAUGUAUUUGGACUUAUGUGAAUUUGCGAACUUAUAUAUUUGGACUUCUGUGAAUUUGUGAUAUGAACAUAUAUCAAUGUGUUUGAAAUCUAUAUUGUAUGUGAUAUAUUGUGUUGCAUGUGAUAUUU